rnacentral:rRNA from 1 species
GACGAACGCUGGCGGCGUGCCUAAUACAUGCAAGUAGAACGCUGAAGGAGGAGCUUGCUUCUCUGGAUGAGUUGCGAACGGGUGAGUAACGCGUAGGUAACCUGCCUGGUAGCGGGGGAUAACUAUUGGAAACGAUAGCUAAUACCGCAUAAUAGUAGAUGUCGCAUGACAUUUGCUUAAAAGGUGCAAUUGCAUCACUACCAGAUGGACCUGCGUUGUAUUAGCUAGUUGGUGAGGUAACGGCUCACCAAGGCAACGAUACAUAGCCGACCUGAGAGGGUGAUCGGCCACGCUGGGACUGAGACACGGCCCAGACUCCUACGGGAGGCAGCAGUAGGGAAUCUUCGGCAAUGGACGGAAGUCUGACCGAGCAACGCCGCGUGAGUGAAGAAGGUUUUCGGAUCGUAAAGCUCUGUUGUAAGAGAAGAACGAGUGUGAGAGUGGAAAGUUCACACUGUGACGGUAUCUUACCAGAAAGGGACGGCUAACUACGUG